UCCGGAGGAGAGGGAGACAGGGCGGGGGAACCACAUGGUGAUCCGUGAAUGGAGGGGAAGGAGUCGUCUGACUGCUGCCCGCCACUCGGAUCCAAUAAAUAAAGGGCUUGGUCCACAGACUAAGACUCCUGGACCAGCCAAUCAUCCUCGGCCGCAGCAGCGAGAGCGUCCGCUCUCCACUGUCUGUGGGCCAGAGGGAGACGGACACAAUGAGUGCACGACACCUGGGGAGUGAGAGCCGCGUUUGCGUGCUCUAAUCCCCGGCAGGACUCACACCGUGUGCUCCGGUCGUAACUCAUAUGUCGGGUUGACACCGGGCCCAGGCCCUGUUUCCCCCGUCCGGAGGAGAGGGAGGAUGGGCCCAGGGGAACCAGGAAUGUUUGCUUUUUAGUAAACAGCUCUGAAAAGAGCUUUGUGCCUGACAAUGCUUCUGCAACGGAGUGCUGAAGAAAAGUGGGAGUGGAUUGUAGGGCCUACUUCCUAUUUAUACGGAAGUGAGCCCGAAGGUGGGGCCCACAUCAUAGACUGAGGUGCUGCAGU